GGAUGUGAGGGCGAUCUGGCUGUGACAUCUGUCACCCCAUUGAUCGCCAGGGUUGAUUCAGCUGAUCCGAUUGGCUAGGCGGGUGUCCCCCACUCCCUCACCGCUCCAUAUGUGUCCUUCCCAAAGCUGCUUGCUCCGUCAAAGAGGACGGCCUUCCCCGAACAAAGGAGGACUGGUCUUUGGUCAAAAGUGUACGAGAGUAGUUACAGUCCCCUGCUAGAGCCUCCAAACAAGCGCUCAAGGUGGGAGCAUGGCAGCAUCCAGGCAGGCAUGGUGCAGCAGAACUGAGAGUUCUGCAUCGUCAUCUGAAGGCUGCUAGGAGAAGACUGGCUUCCAGG
rfam:Rattus norvegicus chromosome 5, whole genome shotgun sequence.